ACAUGCAAGUCGAGCGGACAGAUGGGAGCUUGCUCCCUGAUGUUAGCGGCGGACGGGUGAGUAACACGUGGGUAACCUGCCUGUAAGACUGGGAUAACUCCGGGAAACCGGGGCUAAUACCGGAUGGUUGUUUGAACCGCACGGUUCAAACAUAAAAGGUGGCUUCGGCUACCACUUACAGAUGGACCCGCGGCGCAAUAGCUAGUUUGUGAGGUAAUGGCUCACCAACGCUGCGAUACGUAGCCAACCUGAGAGGGUGAUCGGCCACACAGGUACUGACACCCCGCCCAUACUCC
rnacentral:rRNA from 1 species